GAUGAAGACGUAGCGAAAUGCGAUAAGUAAUGUGAAUUGCAGAAUUCAGUGAAUCAUCGAAUCUUUGAACGCACAUUGCGCCCGCCAGUAUUCUGGCGGGCAUGCCUGUUCGAGCGUCAUUUCAACCCUCAAGCCCAGCUUGGUGUUGGGGAUCGGCACAGGCGCCCUCGGGCGCCCGCCGUCCCCUAAAUCUAGUGGCGGUCCCGCUGCAGCCUCCUCUGCGUAGUAGUUUUCUCCUCGCAAGGGCAGCUCGGUGGCGACCUCGCCGUAAAACCCCCAACUUCUGAAAGGUUGACCUCGAAUCAGGUAGGAAUACCCGCUGAACUUAAGCAUAUCAAUAAGCGGAGGA
rnacentral:misc_RNA from 1 species